AGAUUGAACGCUAGCGGGAUGCUUUACACAUGCAAGUCGAACGGCAGCGCGGACUUCGGUCUGGCGGCGAGUGGCGAACGGGUGAGUAAUAUAUCGGAACGUGCCCAGUAGCGGGGGAUAACUACGCGAAAGCGUGGCUAAUACCGCAUACGCCCUACGGGGGAAAGGGGGGAUCGCAAGACCUCUCACUAUUGGAGCGGCCGAUAUCAGAUUAGCUAGUUGGUGGGGUAAAGGCCCACCAAGGCGACGAUCUGUAGCUGGUUUGAGAGGACGACCAGCCACACUGGGACUGACGACACGGCCAGACUCCUACGGGAGGCAGCAGUGGGGAAUUUUGGAC
rnacentral:rRNA from 1 species